AAGAGUUAGGGUCUUCUAGGCCCGACCUCCCAACCCUUUGUCUACUUGACCCAUCGUUGCUUCGGCGGGCCCGUCUCACGACCGCCGGGGGACCGUCAUACGUUCCCUGGCCCGCGCCCGUCGGUGGCCAACCUUAACAAACUCUGUAACAAUCGUGUCUUGUCUGAGUCUAAUUUUUAAUUAAAACA
rnacentral:misc_RNA from 1 species